UACGUAGGUGGCAAGCGUUGUUCGGAAUUAUUGGGCGUAAAGCGCGUGUAGGCGGCUUUGCAAGUCGGGUGUGAAAGCCCUCGGCUCAACCGAGGAAGUGCGCCCGAAACUGCAGAGCUUGAGUACCGGAGAGGAUGGCGGAAUUCCCCAAGUAGAGGUGAAAUUCGUAGAUAUGGGGAGGAACACCGGUGGCGAAGGCGGCCAUCUGGACGGAUACUGACGCUGAGACGCGAAAGCGUGGGUAGCAAACAGG
rnacentral:rRNA from 1 species